UACGUAGGGUGCGAGCGUUGUCCGGAAUUAUUGGGCGUAAAGAGCUCGUAGGCGGUCCGUCACGUCGGGCGUGAAAAUCCAGGGCUCAACCCUGGACCUGCGCCCGAUACGGGCGGACUAGAGUUCGGUAGGGGAGACUGGAAUUCCUGGUGUAGCGGUGAAAUGCGCAGAUAUCAGGAGGAACACCGGUGGCGAAGGCGGGUCUCUGGGCCGAUACUGACGCUGAGGAGCGAAAGCGUGGGGAGCGAACAGG
rnacentral:rRNA from 1 species